rnacentral:rRNA from 1 species
UACGAAGGGGGCUAGCGUUGCUCGGAAUCACUGGGCGUAAAGCGCACGUAGGCGGAUGUGUCAGUCAGGGGUGAAAUCCCGGAGCUCAACUUCGGAACUGCCUUUGAUACAGCACGUCUUGAGUCCGAUAGAGGUGGGUGGAAUUCCUAGUGUAGAGGUGAAAUUUGUAGAUAUUAGGAAGAACACCGGUGGCGAAGGCGGCCCACUGGAUCGGUACUGACGCUGAGGUGCGAAAGCGUGGGGAGCAAACAGG